UACAGAGGUGGCAAGCGUUGUUCGGAAUUACUGGGCGUAAAGCGUGCGUAGUCGGUUAUCUAAGUCGGGUGUGAAAUCCCCGGGCUCAACCUGGGAAUUGCAUUCGAUACUGGAUAGCUAGAGUUCGGCAGAGGGAAGCGGAAUUUCCGGUGUAGCGGUGAAAUGCGUAGAUAUCGGAAGGAACACCAGUGGCGAAAGCGGCUUCCUGGUCCAGCACCGACGUUCAGGCACGAAAGCGUGGGGAGCAAACAGG
rnacentral:rRNA from 1 species